UUAAAUUCCAGGUAUUUUUCUAUUACCUGCUCUAAAGUAUAAAUGUGAUCAGUCGUAGAGUACCCUGGCCUGAAACCUGCUUGUUCGCUUGGUUGGUGUUUUUCUAUAUGUGGCUCUAUUCUUUUUUCAAGGCACAUUGCAAACAACUUGUACAAUGUGGGCAGCAAGCUAAUCGGCCUGUAGUUAUUAAUGUCAUCUGGGUCGCCCUUCUUAUACAGUAGAAUAAUCCGUGAUUCUGCCCAGUGUUGAGGUAUUAUCUGUGUUUCAAGUAUUUUAUUAAACAGUAUAGUAAGGGGGCCAAUCAGAGCAGUAGUUCCAAUUUUUAUAGCUUCGUUGGGUAUAUUAUCAGCUCCUGGGCUUUUUUCGUUCUUUAAUCGCUUUAUAUUUUUCAGUAUUUCUUGAGCGUCAAAUGGUGGAACGGUAAUUUGGGCUGUUUGUACAUUGGUGCAUUCCUCUUGGUCCUGGUCUAUAUUUUCACUUUGUUUCUUAGUUGAGUUAUCACUACUAUAGAGUUUUUUAUAGAAAUCUAGUUGGUAUCCAUUUUUUCUCUGAGUUCAGCUGUUUAUAUGCUCUGUUUUGGCUUCCAGAUUCAACUAAAUUGUGCUCUAU